GGCUAUAUUACAUGGAUUUAUUGUGAAGGUGUAGACUAUAUUACAUGGAUUUAUUGUGAAGGUGUAGGCUAUAUUACAUGGAUUUAUUGUGAAGGUGUAGGCUAUAUUACAUGGAUUUAUUGUGAAGGUGUAGGCUAUAUUACAUGGAUUUAUUGUGAAGGUGUAGGCUAUAUUACAUGGAUUUAUUGUGAAGGUGUAGGCUAUAUUACAUGGAUUUAUUGUGAAGGUGUAGGCUAUAUUACAUGGAUUUAUUGUGAAGGUGUAGACUAUAUUACAUGGAUUUAUUGUGAAGGUGUAGACUAUAUUACAUGGAUUUAUUGUGAAGGUGUAGGCUAUAUUACAUGGAUUUAUUGUGAAGGUGUAGACUAUAUUACAUGGAUUUAUUGUGAAGGUGUAGACUAUAUUACAUGGAUUUAUUGUGAAGGUGUAGGCUAUAUUACAUGGAUUUAUUGUGAAAGUGUAGGCUAUAUUACAUGGAUUUAUUGUGAAGGUGUAGGCUAUAUUACAUGGAUUUAUUGUGAAGGUGUAGGCUAUAUUACAUGGAUUUAUUGUGAAGGUGUAGACUAUAUUACAUGGAUUUAUUGUGAAGGUGUAGGCUAUAUUACAUGGAUUUAUUGUGAAGGUGUAGGCUAUAUUACAUGGAUUUAUUGUGAAGGUGUAGGCUAUAUUACAUGGAUUUAUUGUGAAGGUGUAGGCUAUAUUACAUGGAUUUAUUGUGAAGGUGUAGGCUAUAUUACAUGGAUUUAUUAGACUUUUUAAAAUGUAGAUGUUACAAAGGUCUACAUCAGUGCCUUUGUAGGCUGUGGGUGGAAGGCAGGAGAUACUAAAUGUGUUUAUGUUAACUAACGGUCAAUUACCGGGAGACCGACGGUUAUUUGCUUGACAAUCACCGGCUGAUGAAAUUUCAUGACCACCACAUCCUUAGUCCUGAAGAUAAACAGAGAAAUAAGAAAUACACUGAUACAGAAACCU